CGUCACCAUAACUCCGCCCAUCUAGUGGCCGGAAACACUGACGUGACCAUGUGACACCCUCUCACUCUAAACCCCGCCCCUUCUAAAGCCCGCCCCCUCCGCGUGUUGUGGAAAGACGGAUCUCUGUCUAUUGGACGAUACUCGUCACGUGACUCUGAGAUAAGAGGCUUGAAACGCAAACCCCGGAAAUGAAGGGCCUGUCAGAGCGAGAUGGGAUAAUUUCCGGAUUCUGAUCGGAAUCACCAGCUUCACCUCCACCUCUGUGAGUUAAUUACCCAUAACCCCCUGCUCCCCCUCCUCCAUCAUUGGAAUCUAAUUACCCAUAACCCCCUGCUCCUCCUCCUCCAUCAUUGGAAUCUAAUUACCCAUAACCCCCUGCUCCUCCUCCUCCAUCAUUGGAAUCUAAUUACCCAUAACCCUCUGCUCCUCCUCCUCCAUCAUUGGAAUCUAAUUACCCCCCAUAACCCUCUGCUCCCCCUCCUCCAUCAUUGCAAUCUAAUUACCCAUAACCCCCUGCUCCCCCUCCUCCAUCAUUGGAAUCUAAUUACCCAUAACCCCAACCUCCUGCUCCUCCUCCUCCAUCAUUGGAAUCUAAUUACCCAUAACCCCUUGCUCCCCCUCCUCCAUCAUUGGAAUCUAAUUACCCAUAACCUCCUGCUCCCCUUCCUCCAUCAUUGGAAUCUAAUUACCCAUAACCCCCCUGCUCCUCCUCCUCCAUCAUUGGAAUCUAAUUACCCAUAACCCCAACCUCCUGCUCCUCCUCCUCCAUCAUUGGAAUCUAAUUACCCAUAACCCCUUGCUCCCCCUCCUCCAUCAUUGGAAUCUAAUUACCCAUAACCUCCUGCUCCCCUUCCUCCAUCAUUGGAAUCUAAUUACCCAUAACCCCCCUGCUCCUCCUCCUCCAUCAUUGGAAUCUAAUUACCCAUAACUCCCCUGCUGCCCCUCCUCCAUCAUUGGAAUCUAAUUACCCAUAACCCCCUGCUCCCCCUCCUCCAUCAUUGGAAUCUAAUUACCCAUAACCCCCUGCUCCCCCUCCUCCAUCAUUAGAAUCUAAUUACCCAUAACCCCCUGCUCCUCCUCCUCCAUCAUUGAAAUCUAAUUACCCAUAACCCCCUGCUCCUCCUCCUCCAUCAUUGGAAUCUAAUUACCCAUAACCCCCUGCUCCCCCUCCUCCAUCAUUGGAAUCUAAUUACCCAUAACCCCCCUGCUCCCCCUCCUCCAUCAUUGGAAUCUAAUUACCCAUAACCCCAACCUCCUGCUCCUCCUCCUCCAUCAUUGGAAUCUAAUUACCCAUAACCCCUUGCUCCCCCUCCUCCAUCAUUGGAAUCUAAUUACCCAUAACCUCCUGCUCCCCCUCCUCCAUCAUUGGAAUCUAAUUACCCGCUCCCCUCCUCCAUCAUUGGAAUCAUUACUCAUAAACCUCCUGCUCCCCUCAUCAUUGGAAUCUAAUUACCCAUAACCCCCUCUCAUCAUUUGGAAUCUAAUUACCCAUAACCCCUGCUCCCCUCCUCCAUCAUUGUAAUCUAAUUACCCAUAACCGCCUGCUCCCCCUCCUCCAUCAUUGUAAUCUAAUUACUCAUAACCCCCCUGCUCCCCCUCCUCCAUCAUUGUAAUCUAAUUAUCCAUAACCCCCCUGCUCCUCCUCCUCCAUCAUUGGAAUCUAAUUACCCAUAUCCCCCUGCUCCUCCUCCCCAUCAAUGUAAUCUAAUUACCCAUAACCCCCUGAUCCUAAUAAUGAGAUAAUUGAGUUAAUACAGUAUCUGACUCCAUUAUCUCCCAGACAGAGGGGAGGGAUUGUAUGCUGUUUGUGGGAGUGUCAUGCAUUGUAACAUUGUUAUUAUUGGUCUGUGACUUUGUACCGUAGUUCCCCACAAGGUCCAUUUGGGAGUGCCCCUUGCAUAGGGAUUGUCAUAAAAGGCCACGUGUGGCACCAUUAAUAUCAGUUCCAGCUUUACCCUCAACAUAGAGCCUUGCCUCAUGUUUAUAGGGACCUGCUAUACAAGCUAUAACCACUAGCUAUUGUAAGAGCUACACAGCUAUACAGGGAGUGCAGAAUUAUUAGGCAAAUGAGUAUUUUGACCACAUCAUCCUCUUUAUGCAUGUUGUCUUACUCCAAGCUGUAUAGGCUCGAAAGCCUACUACCAAUUAAGCAUAUUAGGUGAUGUGCAUCUCUGUAAUGAGAAGGGGUGUGGUCUAAUGACAUCAACACCCUAUAUCAGGUGUGCAUAAUUAUUAGGCAACUUCCUUUCCUUUGGCAAAAUGGGUCAAAAGAAGGACUUGACAGGCUCAGAAAAGUCAAAAAUAGUGAGAUAUCUUGCAGAGGGAUGCAGCACUCUUAAAAUUGCAAAGCUUCUGAAGCGUGAUCAUCGAACAAUCAAGCGUUUCAUUCAAAAUAGUCAACAGGGUCGCAAGAAGCGUGUGGAAAAACCAAGGCGCAAAAUAACUGCCCAUGAACUGAGAAAAGUCAAGCGUGCAGCUGCCACGAUGCCACUUGCCACCAGUUUGGCCAUAUUUCAGAGCUGCAACAUCACUGGAGUGCCCAAAAGCACAAGGUGUGCAAUACUCAGAGACAUGGCCAAGGUAAGAAAGGCUGAAAGACGACCACCACUGAACAAGACACACAAGCUGAAACGUCAAGACUGGGCCAAGAAAUAUCUCAAGACUGAUUUUUCUAAGGUUUUAUGGACUGAUAAAUGAGAGUGAGUCUUGAUGGGCCAGAUGGAUGGGCCCGUGGCUGGAUUGGUAAGGGCAGAGAGCUCCAGUCCGACUCAGACGCCAGCAAGGUGGAGGUGGAGUACUGGUUUGGGCUGGUAUCAUCAAAGAUGAGCUUGUGGGGCCUUUUCGGGUUGAGGAUGGAGUCAAGCUCAACUCCCAGUCCUACUGCCAGUUCCUGGAAGACACCUUCUUCAAGCAGUGGUACAGGAAGAAGUCUGCAUCCUUCAAGAAAAACAUGAUUUUCAUGCAGGACAAUGCUCCAUCACACGCGUCCAAGUACUCCACAGCGUGGCUGGCAAGAAAGGGUAUAAAAGAAGAAAAUCUAAUGACAUGGCCUCCUUGUUCACCUGAUCUGAACCCCAUUGAGAACCUGUGGUCCAUCAUCAAAUGUGAGAUUUACAAGGAGGGAAAACAGUACACCUCUCUGAACAGUGUCUGGGAGGCUGUGGUUGCUGCUGCACGCAAUGUUGAUGGUGAACAGAUCAAAACACUGACAGAAUCCAUGGAUGGCAGGCUUUUGAGUGUCCUUGCAAAGAAAGGUGGCUAUAUUGGUCACUGAUUUGUUUUUGUUUUGUUUUUGAAUGUCAGAAAUGUAUAUUUGUGAAUGUUGAGAUGUUAUAUUGGUUUCACUGGUAAUAAUAAAUAAUUGAAAUGAGUAUAUAUUUGUUUUUUGUUAAGUUGCCUAAUAAUUAUGCACAGUAAUAGUCACCUGCACACACAGAUAUCCCCCUAACAUAGCUAUAACUAAAAACAAACUAAAAACUACUUCCAAAAAUAUUCAGCUUUGAUAUUAAUGAGUUUUUUGGGUUCAUUGAGAACAUGGUUGUUGUUCAAUAAUAAAAUUAAUCCUCAAAAAUACAACUUGCCUAAUAAUUCUGCACCCCCUGUACUCUCUUGGAGGAGAGGCCUUCCGUUCCUCCCCAUCAUUAUAAUCUGUAUUACACUGGGAGCUGCUGCAGCAAGGGGGCUACGGUGCUUAUGGUCCUCAGCAUCAGCUAGGAAGCAUCGAUUGAUUGAGACAACCAGUUGGGGUGCCCGUCGGUCCGUCACACCCAUUACCCCCCUCUCACCAUCAUUAUAAUCUUUAUCUAAUUAUCCAUAAACACCUGCUCCCCAUCGUUAUAGUCUGUAUCUAAAUAUCCAUAACUUCUUCAUCCCCAUCAUUAUAAUCUGUAUCUAAUUACCAAUAACCCGUUCCUCCCCAUCAUUAUAAUCUGUAUUACACUGGGCAGCACUCUGUAUAGUGAGUAUACCUUUAAUUACCCAGAACCUCUUCCUCCCCAAUUAUUAUAAUCUGUAUUAGACAGCAUUCUGCAUUGCCCUUUAAUUACUCCUAAUAAGCGGAGCAUAAUACUGAUCCACUUGUUUUUGGGUUUUUUUGUUUUUUUUUUCCUCUGGGUGAAUUUUUCUGAUUAUCCCUCAUCUCAGAACAAGGUCAGCAUCUCCAAGAGGUCCAGAGUCCAGUGUUUGGAGAAUAAGUUAUCGAGUAACUCUCAGACAACAA
rnacentral:lncRNA from 1 species